UAGUCCGCACGAGCGCACCCUUAUCCUCAGUUACCAGCACUUCGGGUGGGCACUCUGGGGAGACUGCCGGUGACAAACCGGAGGAAGGUGGGGACGACGUCAAGUCAUCAUGGCCCUUACGGCCAGGGCUACACACGUGCUACAAUGGUGCAUACAGACGGUUGCCAAGCCGCGAGGUGGAGCUAAUCUGAGAAAGUGCAUCGUAGUCCGGAUUGGAGUCUGCAACUCGACUCCAUGAAGUCGGAAUCGCUAGUAAUCGUGAAUCAGAAUGUCACGGUGAAUACGUUCCCGGGCCUU
rnacentral:rRNA from 1 species